AUAGGCCCCCAUCUUCACUUAUUCAUGUUUUAUGUAAUGAUGGACUCCCCUGUCCUCCGUAACUUAGUUGGGGUGAUGAAAGGGGUGACGUCUUUAGUUCUACUUGAUGCAUGUGGUUCAUUCACCCCCUUGCAUUACCCAUGCUUUUCUAUUGAUUGCCUCGGUGUAGGCCUCAUUGUGUUCUAUCAGCAUCUUUACCCUAGUUUUAAUGAAUUCUAGUUAUCAAAAAAAAAAAAAAAAAAAGCAAGUUUCCGUACAAGUUGCUUUUCCUUUGUUGGCGCUGUUCCCUUCUCCUUUUUGUCCUUUCAAAACCCAAUUUUUUUCUUGGGAGAUUAUAUUCACAUACCCCAAAUUACUUCUUCCACAUCCUUUUAAUUUUUUAAUAUUUUUCUAUCAAGUGUUGGUGGUGUGUAGAAAAAAUUAAAAAAAUAAAAAAGGUGUGGGAGAAGUAAUUUCUCUUUGGCCUUUGGCUGUCAACACCCUAGCUUUUUAUAUUUUAUUCCCUAAUCAUUUGGUCAAUCAUGGAAGGAUAUUAAUUCUUGUUACAAUCGCAUAAUUAUGUUUUAUCAUUGUUUUAUGAAUGAGGAUUCUCUUCAGAUCCUUCAAUCGUGUUCGUUCAUCGUACAUCAUGCGGCUAAUUUUCAUCAAGUACUAUUUAUGUUUAAUUUUAAAUAAAAAUUUAAAAUAAUUUCUAAUCGCACGAUAUACAAUAAAUAAACACGUUUGGAUGAUCUCCGGGAUCCUUACAAAGAGGAUUUGGACAAGAUCCUCAUUCUUGUUUUAUAUCAAUUAGAUCAUAACAUUAACUAAAGGGUAAAAGACUGUUUACUACCCUCAUGUUUCGUGGUUUUCAACAUUUAGUACAUCAAGUUUUUUUCAUCCCAGAGUCAUACCUAAAGUGUUAAUUUUGGGACAGUCUCAUACAUCCGUUAGUCAAACUGUUAAUUAUCCCGUUAAGUGAUGAUCUGGCGCUCAUGUGGACAAUGACUAGGCGCCACGUGUCAUUAAAAAUAUUUAAUUAAUUAAUUAAUUUAAAAAAAUAAAAAAUAAACCAUCCCUUUGUUGGAAAUA
rnacentral:lncRNA from 1 species